GCUUUCCUGUGGCUCAGUUGGUAGAGCAUUACACAAGCAACACAAAAGUUGUGGGUUAAAAUCCCAAGGAAAGCA
rnacentral:tRNA from 1 species